UUGUGGGAGUUCGAAGAGGAGAGUGACAGUGACGCCUCUAUUUGGUUGCAACGGGAGCAAUGGUCUCUCGGGGUUAGGGUUAGUAAAGGUAGAGGUUGAACCGCCGUACACGACGCAGUUUCCUCCGACGUGGACAACCGUAGCGGCGACGACCGGUCGGGCUGUAGCGGCGAAGGUGUGACGUGAAGGAGCAUGGUGUUUCCCUCUCGCGCGAUUGGAGAAGGAAGAAAACCUAGUGGCUGGCGUCGACUCCGGUGUAGUCUUGGCUCACGGCCUGUGGUCUUCGACGGUGGUGGCACGGUGGUUGGUCUGGCCGGGUGGAGGCUAGGGCUGAGUGAGUGAGUGGCAGAGAGGAGACCAUGGGUCUCACAUAAUGCAAAUGAUGGAAUGAAAUGAAAGAUUGAAGACCCCCUAAGGGUUUCCCGAGUGAAGGAACUAAAAAGGCCUUGGGCCUCCGAUCUAGUUUACCUAUUUUCUAAAAAAUAAAAAAUAAAAAAUCUUUUCUACUCUGUGCACCCUCGUUUCCUAUUCACACACCCUUUUAUCUUUUUGGUUGGGCAUUAAGCGCGUUAUCAUUUCUGAUUGAAGCAUCGCUUCCAUUUUGCACCCCAUUCUCGUUGGACUUAAGCCCAUUGAUGGAGGUCGCACCCCAUGCAAAAUUUGAUUGCAUAUGAGAAAUGCAAUAUAGCUAGGAAGUGACUCCUAGGUCGUCUCACAAGGACCAACUGCGGUUCAGAAUCAGGUCUAACACAGUGGGGGGUUUUGAAGGUGUUUGAAACGAGAAUUAAAUUAAAUUAAAAUGCAUGGAAAUUAAACACAACCGAAUAAGAUAGAAAACAUUAAAGUAAAAUAAAAUGCUAAACCCAACAUUACAUACACAAUUAUCUAGCACCGCUAAAAUUAUUAAAAUGCAACAUGUAAGCUAAACAUUAAAAGCAAUUCAUCAUGAUAACAAUGCAAAUAAAAGACACUUAAAAAGUAAAAGAACUAAAGUGCUUCUCCAAGUGAAUAACGAGGUGACAGCUGCUGAAAAGUUUGGAUGUGAGCUCCUUGUUCCAGCCUAACGUGUCUUUCCCAUUUCUCUCCAAGAAAAUUCAUGCUAAAAUUAAAUGUCUCCCCUGCACCGUACAGUUGCUUUACCGUGUGCUCUCCAACGAAAACUCAUCACCCUUUGCCAAUUAAAAUAAUGAAAUCUGCUCUUCAAAAUGAUAAAAGAAAGGAAGCAAAAAAAUACGUUCUCUACUGGACAAGACAACUACUGCCACUUCCCGCUUAAUUCCUCUUCAUUCACAAGAAAUUAAAAAAAAAUUCUCCAACCCUUAAUAACCGUACUUGCAACCUUGAAACCAAGCUCAUCUCUCCAUCAACAACACCCGUGGCAGCUUUGCUAUUUCUAAAUGAAUGAUAAUUUAUAUUG
rnacentral:lncRNA from 1 species